rnacentral:rRNA from 1 species
CGUGGAGACAGGUGGUGCAUGGCUGUCGUCAGCUCGUGUCGUGAGAUGUUGGGUUAAGUCCCGCAACGAGCGCAACCCUCACCUCUUGUUGCCAUCAGGUCAUGCUGGGCACUCUAGAGGAACUGCCCCGGUCAACGGGGAGGAAGGCGGGGAUGACGUCAAGUCAUCAUGCCCCUUACGUCCUGGGCUACACACGUGCUACAAUGGCCGGUACAAAGGGAUGCCACACCGCGAGGUAGAGCUAAACCCAAAAAGCCGGUCUAAGUUCAGAUUGGAGUCUGCAACUCGACUCCAUGAAGGAGGAAUCGCUAGUAAUCGCGUAUCAGCACGACGCGGUGAAUACGUUCCCGGGCCUUGUACACACCGCCCGUCACACCACGAAAGUCUGCUGUACUCGAAGUCGCUGAG